rnacentral:lncRNA from 1 species
UGGCAGCCUAUAAAAAUGUCCCUACUCGGCGCAGGCAGGAACCAGGUUACACUUCUUAUAAGGCAGCUGAAGCCUAUAGAUCACAGAAAAAAAAAAAUCUGGGGAAAAACAUCUUCUCUGGGAGAUAGCCACUAAGAUCACCUUGCACAGAAGUAUUUCUAACUUUUUUGGUUUUUUUUUUUUUUUUUUUCCUGAUAGUAUUCCCAGUUGGACCAACAGCAUCUGAAUUUGCUGGGAUUAUGAGGAAGACAAAGUAUUCCUGGGGAGCCUUCGCAGGAAGAGGCAGCAAGUUGGCUGGGGAAAACACAAGGAUGCUUCCCAAGACUGUGCAUGAGGAGAGAAAGAAGCAGGAAGCCAAGAGGAGAGGGAAGCUGAAAACCGUGGCAGGAAAAUUGCUGAAGGCCGUGGCUGGUGGUAAAGAGGCAGUGGAGGAGAAGGCCAGCAGUGAGGAUGUGGCAGGGAAUUUGCUGAAGAUGGCAACCAGCAGGAAGGAAGUGGAGGGAGAGACACCUGCAGAGGAAACCAUCUGUGGAUUCAUUGAGCAAGGAAAAUUUUUUGAAGCUUGUGAUCGUAUUUAUGAUCUGGAGCAUUCUGGAAAUGAUGGUGUGGGAAAGUCUGAAUCACUUUAUACGCUGCUGGCUGAACGAAUGUGGACUGUGGUGGGAGAAGCACUCCGUGGAAGUGGUGGGAUGUUCCUGGAGCCGUUGCAGUCAGUGGGGGAAUCGCUGAAGUGGGAGAAGCAGAAGGAAGCAGAGUGGCUUGGCAGCAGCCAAGAGACGGAGUCUGUUUCCACCUGGAGUCCAAACUUCUGGAGGAAAGAUCUGGAGGAAAAGCUAAUACAUUAUAUAACAGCCCAGAUUCCCCCCUUUGGUUCCUGUAGUAACACAGAUGAGGCUGCACUGAAACAGCACCUGAGUCAGCUGGAAAUGACGUUUAUCCCCAGCCUGGAGCACAGAAGUGGUUUCUUCAAGGAAGCAGGACUGCUCGUCACCUACACCCACUGCUGUCAUGCCUCUUUGUCUUCUCACCUUUCCACACUUACUGACAGUAGCAAUUUCAGCUUCAGCCAAUGCCUUUUAGUUUAUGAAUGGGGCCUUAAAAUGUACAAAAGCAGCAGCGAGACAUGUCUGGGACCCAGGCAAACCCCCCAGCACAACCUUUCCUUUGGUGUACAGUGUCUCAUGUGGAUUAUUUUGAAGACUGAGGAAAAGUUACUUGCAGCCACCCGGAAGGAAGUAGGGAAAGCCCUGAAAGAAGCCUUUGAUAUCGGGAAACCCCCUUGUGCAGAUGCUGCAGUCAUUCAGAUUCUGACAGAGAAGACAGAGGCUGCCUGGCGUGUCAGUGAGAGCCUGAGUGAGAAGGUGGAAGCUGUGUGCCUGGAGGAGUGCCUGAAGUUCCUGGACAGCUACCAAAAUGAAGUACGAAGCUCUCUCCAGCUCAACAGCUGCCCUGGGAUCUGCAGCAGCUUACGAAUCCUGGAGAACUGCUGUAUUCUCAGGACUGUCUGGCAUAAGCUGACAUACAUUUGCAGUGCCAGCACUGGGCAGGAUGUUAAGGUAAAUGGAUUUCUAGACAGGAUGGAAGAUGAGAUUACGGAGCAUUUUCUGCAGACAGUCACUUCUAAAGUCAAGGGAACACUGAAGGAGCACUUCAAAAAGUGUGACAGUGGUUUUGACCACAUCCUUGAAUCCUUAAAGCAAAGCUUUUUGGCAUUUGGGAAGAAAAAAACAGACACGUAUGAGGUAAGAAAUAAGUAAGAAAGUAAGAAUAAGAUAUUACUCAGGAAAUCACUAAAACUAGUCCUUGAACCUCUGGAUGGCAC